ACCAGCACAGGCCGUUGCAUCGGCACAAGCGCGGGUGGAGUACUGCCUGUUGGUUUGCCGUUGUGGUGGUCGAGGAACGAAGCGUGCACCCUUGGGGCGGGCCACUAUGCACCUGCACGCUCAUGGUGUUGGUUGGUGGGCUUUCCAUUCGACCCAUCUUGAAACAUGGACCAAGGAGUCUAACAUGUGUGCGAGUCGGUGGGUUUGUAAACCUGCGAGGCGUAAGGAAGCUGACGGGCGAGAACCCCUCUCCAUGGGGUGCAUUGCCGACCGACCUUGAGCUUGUGCGAAGGGUU
rnacentral:ncRNA from 1 species